UACGUAGGGGGCGAGCGUUGUCCGAAGUUACUGGGCGUAAAGCGCGCGUAGGCGGGUUGGCAAGUCUGCUGUGAAAGCCCGGGGCUUAACUCCGGAGGGUCGGUGGAUACUGCCAGUCUUGAAGGUGCUAGGGAGAGAUGGAAUUACCGGUGUAGCGGUGAAAUGCGUAGAUAUCGGUAGGAACACCGGUGGCGAAGGCACUCUACUGGGCCAUUACUGACACUGAGAGACGAAAGCUAGGGGAGCAAAUGGG
rnacentral:rRNA from 1 species